rnacentral:rRNA from 2 species
GGAUAAACGCUAGCUGUGUGCUUAAUACAUGCAUGUUGAACGGAAUAUUUUAGUUCGCUAAAAUAUUUAGUAGCAAAUGGGUGAGUAACACGUACCUAACCUACCUUUUGGACUGGGAUAACCAUUGGAAACAGUGGCUAAUACCAGAUAUGAUAAAAAUUUGCAUGAAUUUUUAUUCAAAGGAGCCUUCAAGCUUCACCAAGAAAUGGGGGUGCGCAACAUUAGUUAGUUGGUAGGGUAAAAGCCUACCAAGACGAUGAUGUUUAGCGGGGCCAAGAGGUUGUACCGCCACACUGGGAUUGAGAUACGGCCCAGACUCCUACGGGAGGCAGCAGUAAGGAAUAUUCCACAAUAAGCGAAAGCUUGAUGGAGCGACACAGCGUGCAGGAUGAAGUCUUUCGGGAUGUAAACUGCUGUUGUAAGGGAAGAAAAAACUAGAUAGGAAAUGCUCUAGUCUUGACGGUACCUUAUUAGAAAGCGACGGCAAACUAUGUGCCAGCAGCCGCGGUAAUACAUAGGUCGCAAGCGUUAUCCGGAAUUAUUGGGCGUAAAGCGUCCGUAGGUUUUUUGUUAAGUUUAAAGUUAAAUGCUAAAGCUCAACUUUAGUCCGCUUUAGAUACUGGCAAAAUAGAAUUAUGAAGAGGUUAGCGGAAUUCCUAGUGGAGUGGUGGAAUACGUAGAUAUUAGGAAGAACACCAAUAGGCGAAGGCAGCUAACUGGUCAUAUAUUGACACUAAGGGACGAAAGCGUGGGGAGCAAACAGGAUUAGAUACCCUGGUAGUCCACGCCGUAAACGAUGAUCAUUAGUUGGUGGCAAAAGUCACUAACACAGCUAACGCGUUAAAUGAUCCGCCUGAGUAGUAUGCUCGCAAGAGUGAAACUUAAAGGAAUUGACGGGAACCCGCACAAGCGGUGGAGCAUGUGGUUUAAUUUGAAGAUACGCGUAGAACCUUACCCACUCUUGACAUUCUCGCAAAACUAUAGAGAUAUAGCCGAGGCUAACGAGAUCACAGAUGGUGCAUGGUUGUCGUCAGCUCGUGUCGUGAGAUGUUAGGUUAAGUCCUGCAACGAGCGCAACCCUUUUCUUUAGUUGCUAACAUUUAGUUGAGAACCCUAAAGAUACUGCCGGCGCAAGCCGGAGGAAGGUGGGGACGACGUCAAAUCAUCAUGCCUCUUACGAGUGGGGCAACACACGUGCUACAAUGGCUACUACAAAGAGCAGCAAAACAGUGAUGUCAAGCUAAUCUCAAAAAAGUAGUCUCAGUUCGGAUUGAAGUCUGCAACUCGACUUCAUGAAGUCGGAAUCGCUAGUAAUCGCAGGUCAGCUAUACUGCGGUGAAUACGUUCUCGGGUUUUGUACACACCGCCCGUCACACCAUGGGAGUUGGUAAUGCCCAAAGUCGGUGAGUUAACUUCGGAGACCAUUGCCUAAGGCAGGACCGAUGACUGGGGUGAAGUCGUAACAAGGUAUCCCUACGAGAACGUGGGGAUGGAACACCUCCUUUCUACGGAAAAACCAAAAACAAAACAUAAAUUUAUUCACACCUUUUAUUAGAUUAAAUUUUUUCUAAAUUUUUACAUUUUUAACAUCAUUUUCAUUAUUUAUUCUUAUUCUUUUUAUUAAAUUAAAAGAUUUUUAUAGAUUUUAUUUGUAUUUUUUUAAUUCAUUUCCUCCUUAUUUAUUUAUAAUUAUUUAUUAAUCUAGUUGUUGUAAAAUUUUAAAUUGGACUAUAUACCUAGUUUUGAGGGCUCUAAAGCUCUCAAAACAAAAAAAAUUGCCAAAAGGCAAAACAGCUCUUUCAAAACUGAAUAGUAACAAUUUUAUUCUGAUUGAAAAAUCAGGUAAUAUUCUAAUGAUCUUUAAAAAUUAAACCGAGUUUAUUUUUGCUUUUUAAUUUUUGAAAAUUAAAAAAAUUAAAAAGAAAGAUUAUGCUAAAAUUGUUAAAAUACCUUAAGAUAUAUUAUCUCAAAAUAGGCUAUACUCAAAAAUAGUUUUAACUUUUUAAAUAAAUAAGAGUAUUUGGUGGAUGCCUUGGGUCUGAAAGUCGAUGAAGGACGUGAUUACCUGCGAUAAGCUUCGUGGAGUUGGAAAUAAACUAUGAUACGGAGAUUUCCGAAUGGGGGAACCCAAUCUAGCAAACCUAGAUUGCGCUUUAAUGAAUUCAUAAUUAAAGCAGCGAGAUACGUUGCGAAUUGAAACAUCUUAGUAGCAACAGGAAAAGAAAAUAAAUAAUGAUUCCCAAAGUAGUGGCGAGCGAAAUGGGAAGAGCCCAAACCGUUUUUACGGGGUUAUAGGACAUUUUAAUUGAGUUAGAAAAUUAUGUAAUAGUAGAAAAAGUUGGAAAGCUUUGACAUAGAAGGUGAUAUCCCUGUAUAUUAAAUUAUAUAAUCUCAUAGAUGUAUCCUGAGUAGGGCGGGGCACGUGGAACCCUGUCUGAAUUUGCCAGGACCACCUGGUAAGGCUAAAUACUAAUCAGACACCGAUAGUGAACUAGUACCGUGAGG